rnacentral:rRNA from 2 species
GCUGAAUCCUUUGCAGACGACUUAAAUACGCGACGGGGCAUUGUAAGUGGCAGAGUGGCCUUGCUGCCACGAUCCACUGAGAUCCAGCCCCAUGUCGCACGGAUUC